CAUGCGCGUCUAUACAUGCAGUCGAGCGGACAGAAGGGAGCUUGCUCCCGGAUGUUAGCGGCGGACGGGUGAGUAACACGUGGGUAACCUGCCUGUAAGACUGGGAUAACUCCGGGAAACCGGAGCUAAUACCGGAUAGUUCCUUGAACCGCAUGGUUCAAGGAUGAAAGACGGUUUCGGCUGUCACUUACAGAUGGACCCGCGGCGCAUUAGCUAGUUGGUGGGGUAAUGGCUCACCAAGGCGACGAUGCGUAGCCGACCUGAGAGGGUGAUCGGCCACACUGGGACUGAGACACGGCCCAGACUCCUACGGGAGGCAGCAGUAGGGAAUCUUCCGCAAUGGACGAAAGUCUGACGGAGCAACGCCGCGUGAGUGAUGAAGGUUUUCGGAUCGUAAAGCUCUGUUGUUAGGGAAGAACAAGUGCGAGAGUAACUGCUCGCACCUUGACGGUACCUAACCAGAAAGCCACGGCUAACUACGUGCCAGCAGCCGCGGUAAUACGUAGGUGGCAAGCGUUGUCCGGAAUUAUUGGGCGUAAAGGGCUCGCAGGCGGUUUCUUAAGUCUGAUGUGAAAGCCCCCGGCUCAACCGGGGAGGGUCAUUGGAAACUGGGAAACUUGAGUGCAGAAGAGGAGAGUGGAAUUCCACGUGUAGCGGUGAAAUGCGUAGAGAUGUGGAGGAACACCAGUGGCGAAGGCGACUCUCUGGUCUGUAACUGACGCUGAGGAGCGAAAGCGUGGGGAGCGAACAGGAUUAGAUACCCUGGUAGUCCACGCCGUAAACGAUGAGUGCUAAGUGUUAGGGGGUUUCCGCCCCUUAGUGCUGCAGCUAACGCAUUAAGCACUCCGCCUGGGGAGUACGGUCGCAAGACUGAAACUCAAAGGAAUUGACGGGGGCCCGCACAAGCGGUGGAGCAUGUGGUUUAAUUCGAAGCAACGCGAAGAACCUUACCAGGUCUUGACAUCCUCUGACAACCCUAGAGAUAGGGCUUUCCCUUCGGGGACAGAGUGACAGUGGUGCAUGAUGUCGUCAGCUCGUGUCGUGAGAUGUUGGGUAAGUCCCGCAACGAGCGCAACCUUGAUCUAGUGCCAGCAUUCAGUUGGCCACUCUAGUGACUGGCAGUGACAAACGGAAGAGGUGGGAAUGAACCGUCCAAAAUCACUUCAC
rnacentral:rRNA from 1 species